AACCGCAGUUUGAUGAGAGCCUCAAUGAAGGCCAAACGGGUGAUUAACAGGAUUAUGGGAAAGACCGAAACCAAAUACAAGAAUUGCGAGGACUUCCAGAGCUAGGGUUGUGGCAGCAUUCAUUAGAUGGUCUUUGACUCUAUCAAGGAGGAGCCAAAGAGUGACCACAUUACUGGGGAAGCUACCCAUCACCAUAGCCACCUGAGCACCGAUUGUAACUUGAGCAUCGCUAUCUACUUUGAAGACCUGUUCGGAUGAAGAACUAAUGCAAAAAAGGGAAAAAUUAGAAUUUUAUUCAGGAUGUCUUUUGUCAAAGGACGAAGGAGCGUAUUCUUUCAUGGUUUCUUUUAUGUCUCCAUUUGGAAGAAUGAAAAAAAUGGUUUUGUUCAUAUUCAUAUAGCUUUUUUGGAGCACUAUUAUAUCUUCCUAUCCUGGAUUUCUGUGAAAGUUUUUUUUUUUUUUUCAAUCUGACCUGAAAAUUACAGCUUAAGUUGUAAGGCUUAUUCACUUACAUUCAAAGAGAAACUACUUGAACUGUUUAAAUUUACAAAAAAACUAAAAAAAAUGCCUUAAACACUUUGUAAAGAUAUGAAAGAAUAUCUGUAAAGUAGUACAUAUUUAUUGAUACAUAUCACAAUUUACUAACUACUAGUAAUUUGUAAUAGCCUUGCAUAGUGUAGCAAAGAUUUAUUCCAGUUAUCACACUUAUAUUCCAGCUGAUUAGAUGAAACAUUUUUUACAAAACUAAGUGCUAACAAACAAGAUACCAGGAAUGAAUUAUUUUGUGCAACCUAUAUGAAUCCAUAAGGAAAUGAGAGACUCCAUCUUUAGAUCUUAAUAGAUAUAACAUUACCAUAAAUGCCCUUAUGCUGAUUAUUGCUUAGAAUAACUUCUAAGUUCAUACUGAAUAUAGUAAUCAUAAUAAAGGUCUGUACACCUCAGAGAUUUUUAAACCAGUAGCUUAUUAAUUAAACAUGUGUAUUUCAGAACACAAAGUUAGUUAUAUGAAAACAUAUCAACAAUUUACUGAAUGUUAAUUUUCAUUAUGAUUUCAGUAGUGGCAGCAUGAUGCUAUUAACAGACAGCAAGAAUAUGAUAAAAAAAAAAAGGAUUAGAAAUAUGAUAUCUCUGGAAAGGCCUUGUAUUAAUUUUCCAGAUUAAACAGGAAAAUAAUUCUGAUUUCAGUUGGACAUCGAAGCAACUGGUGUUACAGGUAUGCUUAUGAUAAUGAAAAAGAUCAAGUUGGGUUAGGUGGUCAGAGUGGAAAUAUAAAUGUGUGUGCUUGUCUGUAUGUCUGUAUACUCGUGUAUGUAUAUAUGUGUAUAUAUAUAUAUAUAUAUAUAUAUAUAUAUAUAUAUAUAUAUAUAUAUAUAUAUAUAUAUAUAUAUAUAUAUAUACAUAUAUAUAGAUACACAAAUACACACACACACACAUGCAUAUAUAUAUACAUAUGUAUGUAUAUACAUAUAUACAUAUAUAUACACUUAUACAUAUGUAAAGUCAGACAAACUACAGAUCUGUGCUUGAUUUCUCCAUUGUGUUACUUGUAAAAUGGUGAUGGCAGCUGUAAAUAUUAUGUAAAACACAAAUGAGGGCUUCCCAUAUGCAUUAAUUAAAUAUAGUACAGUAUA
rnacentral:lncRNA from 1 species